rnacentral:tRNA from 1 species
GACAACGUGGCCGAAUGGUUAAGGUACCUGUUUGCAAAACAGAUUUUUUGGGAGUUCGAAUCGCUCCGUUGUCU